rnacentral:lncRNA from 1 species
GGGAAAGCCGACUGGCCCCCAUUUACUGAUCAAUCUCCAGAACAGUCUGACUGAUACCUGACUCUGACCCACCAAAGAAACGGACGACCCUAAAGGCAACUACCAACUAUAUGUCGGCUGAGUAGGCCGACGCUACUUUCAACCGACCGACCGAAUCUCCUUUAUCGAUCCAGAUCGGUAAGCGGUCGAUAUUCGGACUCUACAGACAAUAAACUACUUCGACCGUCGGUAUUUUAGAGUUACUAACUGACAACCGACUUCCGAUGCACAGUCGGCUGACUCAUUCAAAUAUAUCAUAACUGUCACGGGUGGUUACUCUACUGAUAUCGCGGCGUAAUCCAUGGAGAUUAAUAAUCCACUAUGAGAUUACUGUCUUGUGAUUCUACGUCGCUAAAUGCGGGACCAUAUUUGACAGUUAUGACGAUCUACUUUAUAAAAAGGAGAUAAGGCAACAAGUUUCGGUAAGCCAAUUUUGAUAUGCUGAGCUCUGUCUCUGUUCUCAUUCGACUGUUGCCCAGUCUCCUUCUCUGACUUAAGCAUCGAAGGGUCUUCAUCAAAGAUAACUCCGGUCAGUGCGGACUUCAUUUUGCAGGUGUUUGUUCCCAACGAACAAACGACGAGGAGAUUGACGGCAACAGAAAUAAAGCCUAUACUCUAACGUUGCAGUGAG